rnacentral:snoRNA from 1 species
AACAGAAUGACAGUGACAGUGACACCCAGAAGACUGUGAAGUGACAUUGUGACCCAUGGGCCUUGAUCCCCUUCCCUGGGCUUCAAGGAUAAACUUCGUUACAGAACUAA